GGGAUCUAAAUCCAGGAGCACAGACUGCAGAACCAACUCGUAUCACAGAGCGUCAUCCAUCACAGCUCCAUGGUAACAAAUUGGUGAAUUGAAUGGAUGAAUAACAAGAUCAAUGCUUAAUCUAUAUUUUUUUGGAUCAAAAGUUUCUCCAAUUCCGUAAUAUGGGAUACAAUCAAGCCUUUACUUUCCACACCAAUUUAUUCAUCAGCAAGAGGCAAGUGAGAAGAACCAUUUAGUUUGUGUUCAUUCAUCAGUAUUUUUUCUUUUUUUGUUUACAAUCAUAAAAAAUUUCCAUCUAUGUUCUUCAAAUUAGAUAUGAAACACAAUUGAAAUAGCUAAUCAAAGCCCCAUAAACAAUACUCCAAGAUGAUGCUUCAACAAGGUGUCUCUCACAUUUUGCAGGCAAUUCAGUAGAAUGGACGGAGUCUUAAGUGGAUUGUUACCUGAAGGAAGCUUCCUAUGGCUGCGAUCACUGAGGCUCCUCCCGGCGAGGAGAUGGCGGCGGUCGAACAUCCGAAAGAUCCCGGAGAUGCACCCGAUUUGCUUCUGCAAAUCCAGCUUCUUGUCAUCAGCAGACGCGUCGAGUAACUUCGUAGGCAUUUCGAGCUUCUUCAAUUCAACCAUUCCACACUCCUACGUUUUUCAACUGCACUUCUCAGCCUGCGUCUUCCUGUCAAAGGUCUAAACGGAGACUCAAUACAUGAAACCUCGUAUAAAUGCUUCGCACCUCCAAUGCAACGACAAGCUCUAAAUAACAGCCACAGAGAAGUCGACUGGGAAGACAAAAG
rnacentral:lncRNA from 1 species